GGGGCUGUCCUGGUUUCGACGUGGGUACGGAUCUGGAGUGGCGCAUGCCGAGCUUGAGUCACGCUCGUAAAUCUCGAUUCACUAAACUAACUGCAAACGACGAUCGUUUCGCACUCGCCGCCUAAAUCCGGCGAGACUUGCAACAGCACGCUGAUGGGCUGGGCCAAAGCCGCAAGGUAAUGGCUGCAAGUGAAUUCACAUCAGCUGGCCGCAUGCCGGGCAUCUUGGCAUGUGGCGAGAUCCAAGGAUGCUGGCCUGAUCGAUAGCGUGUGGCUGCGCGAUCGACCGGGCGAGAUCAAAACAGACCACUAAGCAUGUAGAACUGCCCGGCAAAGGCUUGCGGACGCGGGUUCAACUCCCGCCAGCUCCACCA
rnacentral:tmRNA from 1 species